UGAUCGGUAGUGUAAUGAGCAACACGUCACAAUUCGAAAAAGUAGAGAUAGCAGAGGUGGAGGGUUCGAUUCCCUCCCGGUCCA
rnacentral:tRNA from 1 species